rnacentral:rRNA from 1 species
GCUGGAAUCUCUCGGGGUUACAGCCUUGCUGAAUUAUUCACCCUUGUCUUUUGCGUACUUCUUGUUUCCUUGGUGGGUUCGCCCACCACUAGGACAAACAUAAACCUUUUGUAAUUGCAAUCAGCGUCAGUAACAAAUUAAUAAUUACAACUUUCAACAACGGAUCUCUUGGUUCUGGCAUCGAUGAAGAACGCAGCGAAAUGCGAUAAGUAGUGUGAAUUGCAGAAUUCAGUGAAUCAUCGAAUCUUUGAACGCACAUUGCGCCCUUUGGUAUUCCAAAGGGCAUGCCUGUUCGAGCGUCAUUUGUACCCUCAAGCUUUGCUUGGUGUUGGGCGUCUUGUCUCUAGCUUUGCUGGAGACUCGCCUUAAAGUAAUUGGCAGCCGGCCUACUGGUUUCGGAGCGCAGCACAAGUCGCACUCUCUAUCAGCAAAGGUCUAGCAUCCAUUAAGCCUUUUUUCAACUUUUGACCUCGGAUCAGGUAGGGAUACCCGCUGAACUUAAGC